rnacentral:rRNA from 1 species
GACGAACGCUGGCGGCGUGCUUAACACAUGCAAGUCGAACGGAAAGGCCCUGCUUUUGUGGGGUGCUCGAGUGGCGAACGGGUGAGUAACACGUGAGUAACCUGCCCUUGACUUUGGGAUAACUUCAGGAAACUGGGGCUAAUACCGGAUAGGAGCUCCUGCUGCAUGGUGGGGGUUGGAAAGUUUCGGCGGUUGGGGAUGGACUCGCGGCUUAUCAGCUUGUUGGUGGGGUAGUGGCUUACCAAGGCUUUGACGGGUAGCCGGCCUGAGAGGGUGACCGGCCACAUUGGGACUGAGAUACGGACCAGACUCCUACGGGAGGCAGCAGUGGGGAAUAUUGCACAGUGGGCGGAAGCCUGAUGCAGCAACGCCGCGUGCGGGAUGACGGCCUUCGGGUUGUAAACCGCUUUCGCCUGUAACGAAGCGUGAGUGACGGUAAUGGGUAAAGAAGCACCGGCUAACUACGUG